UAACUUUAAUUUCGCCGAAGCCAGUUUAGCCUACAGCCGCCACACGGCCAUGGACAACUGGCCGCAGCGCCAGCCGCUGCCGGGUUACAAGGGAAACUUUGUGGCCUCCCACACUUGGAAAGGCAUACAUGCACACUAUAC
rnacentral:ncRNA from 2 species